rnacentral:lncRNA from 1 species
AUGGAGUCCACACGGAGUCCACACGGAACCACAGAGAGUCCACACGGAACCACAGAGAGUCCACACAGAACCACAGGGAGUCCACAGAGAGCCCACACAGAGCCACAUGGAGUUGACACGGAGCCUAUACUGAUCCCUCAUGGAGCCCACACAGAGCCACAGGGAGCACACAUGGAGUCCCACAGAACCCACAUGGAGCCCACACAGAGCCCCACAAAGCCCACACGGAGCACACAUAGAACCCUCAUGGAGCCCACACGGAGCCCCACGGAGACCACGUGGAGCCACACAGAGCACACAUGGAGCCCACAUGGAGUCCACAUGGAGGCCACACCAAGCCUACAUGGAGCCCCGCAGUGCCCACAUGAGUACACACACAGAGCCCCAGAGAGCACACAUGGGACCCCCUCAGAGCCCCACAGAGCCCACAUAGUCCCACAGAGCACACAGAGCCCCAGAGAGCACACACGGGACCCCCUCAGAGCCCCACGGAGCCCAUACAGAGUACACAGAGCACACAGAGCCCCAGAGAGCACACACGGGACCCCCCUCAGAGCCCCACGGAGCCUCACGGCUGGGGCGUCAGUGACACGGGGCGCCCCAUGCCCGGUCAGACCCCAAGGCAGGAGAUGCACCUACAGCUGCCCAGCCCGGCGGCUGCAGACGUGGGGUCCCGCCUCCCAGUGCCUUGUGGGAUCACGUUUCCUGCCCCGUGUCUUCCCACCCAGGGCCUGGCAUGCUGACAUCUCCACACAGGGAGCCACGGAUAGGGGGGGACCCCUGUCCACGUGGGGGCAGCCGGGGCAGAUAGCGGCCGCCGAUGGGCACUCUGCUUCUCCUCUUGGCCCUGACCUGCCUGGAGUGCCCCCUUUAGAGUGGACUCAGGACCCCUCCCUGCUGUGGCCCCCACCGCCAGGCUGCCCACUCCCGGGCACGUCCUCAGGACCCCUCCCUGCUGUGGCCCCCACCGCCAGGCUGCCCACUCCCGGGCACGGCCUCGAUGACUGUUCUGCUUGCCCGGUGCCCGCCGACACCGCAGCGGGUUCCCCGCUCCCUCCUACUCACUCUGACGCUCCAGACUGGACGACCCUGGGAUCAGAGCCCAAACUAACCAUUCGUCUACCCACUGGGCAGUCACCGAUGGGGGGCCCGUGCAUGCUGGACACACAGGUUCACGCAUAG